UAAAAUCCAUGCUGCUUUCAGAAAUGACAGAGCUCCUGAACUGGAGGUGGGAGUUGCUCUGUGCACUGAACAGUAACAUCACAACUUGCAUGUGCGUGGUUUUGCGCUCCUGUCAAAGCAAAAUGCCAUUUCCUCUAGAGGCCUGGACGGGCCGUGGAGAGCGGGGAAGCGCAGUUGUGCCCCUGCUUGUGUUUCUCCUCAGAGUCCAGGAUCACAGGGCUGCCCAGGUUGGGAGGGACCUCGGAAGAUCGUCUGGCCCAACUUUCUGUGGGACAGGGAGCCUAGGUGAGAUUAUCUAGCAGCGUGUCCAGUCACAUCUUGAAAACCCGCAGUGGUGGCAGCGGUGACUCUUCAGUCACUUUUCUACGCGUCCCCUCCCCCGGGCCCUUUCCUUUGCACAGCUCUGCCCUUUGCUGCACUCCUGCUGCUUCCUUUGCUGGGGGUGGUCAGAGGCCACUCGCUUACUGGAGCUCCUGGAGCAAGUCCUGCCUGUUAAUUCAGACCCCAGUAGCUUUUUCUGCCCUGAUGGGGAAUAUCCUGGCUGUUCACUUUCUCAUGAUCUUUAUUACUUUUGUCUUGAGCUUUGUGACUCAAGUUCAGAAAUGUUGGAGAAAGUGACAGAAGUUAAAUUCUGCUGCAAAAGUCACUCCUGUCUUAGAACAGAAAGUGAGACCAGGGUAUUUGCCAUGAAGAGGAAGCUACCGGAGCUGACAGAUACCCUGCUGCUGCUGAAAAAGUCUGAGUUGCUGCAGGUUUCUCUCCCAUUUGGAAACUUGUGAAUGGGUCCGGUUUUAACAGAUACACCCGCACAGAUGAGAUGGUGAAUAAAGACAACCCAGUAACUUGCAUUCUCUUCACCAGCCCAUGUUUUGACAAGUAAUGACAAGUCCUUUCGCAAGAAAGGCGACUUAAGCAUGCACAGCGGGAAGUCUCUUACCUGGCC